rnacentral:rRNA from 1 species
CCUACGGGAGGCAGCAGUGAGGAAUAUUGGUCAAUGGACGAGAGUCUGAACCAGCCAAGUAGCGUGAAGGAUGACUGCCCUAUGGGUUGUAAACUUCUUUUAUAUGGGAAUAAAAUGUUCCACGUGUGGGAUUUUGUAUGUACCAUAUGAAUAAGGAUCGGCUAACUCCGUGCCAGCAGCCGCGGUAAUACGGAGGAUCCGAGCGUUAUCCGGAUUUAUUGGGUUUAAAGGGAGCGUAGGUGGAUUGUUAAGUCAGUUGUGAAAGUUUGCGGCUCAACCGUAAAAUUGCAGUUGAAUCUGGCAGUCUUGAGUACAGUAGAGGUGGGCGGAAUUCGUGGUGUAGCGGUGAAAUGCUUAGAUAUCACGAAGAACUCCGAUUGCGAAGGCAGUUCACUGGACUGCAACUGACACUGAGGCUCGAAAGUGUGGGUAUCAAACAGGAUUAGAUACCCCUGUAGUC